GACCGACAGAUGAACGGAUGACCUGCUUGCUGGGCUUCCCAUUACUAAUUCUUGAGACAUGAGGACCACUGACUGAUAAGGGAAUUGUCUUACUGAGAUGGAUGAGCCUGCUCCAAGCUACCAUAAGAUGGGAGGACCGACGGUUGACUGACUCUGCCUGCUUGGUUGGCCAUUACCGAUUCUUGAGAAGAUGAUGACCGCCAAGCUUGGAUGAGACUGGAAAAUUACGAAGCUGCUCUAUCUGGACAAGGAUGCCCUCAUCAGACACUUUCCAAUUUGCGGAAUAUUGGAUCAAAAAUUUGCAAUAUUAUAAAACAUAAAAACGACGAAAAUACGAAUUCUGACGCUAAAUAAUUGGAAGAAAUAAUAGCUUAAAUCACUGUUACUUGUUAACUUUACUGAGAUACCUAUACCUAAAAUAUUUGACAACGAAUAUGACGAAAAUUGAAGAAAAAAAUUGUCAAAUGUCUGUAAAAUACAUUGCAGUGAAAAUCAAAUCAUGAGCGGAUUUUUUUCUCACAGAAAUGCUUCUCCGCUUCCAACAAGUGGCUGAGAAAAUGAUGAAAUUUACGCCGAAAAUAACUGAAAUCAGUGUUGUUUUUACCUUUACUGCGAUACCUACCCGAAAUAUUUGACUAAACGCGUGUGACGCAACGUGGAAACAAAAAUCAAAUCGGUGCAAAUUAAAUAACAACGAAAAUCACACAGUACGUGGAGUUUCUUCUCGCAGCACGGCACUCUGUUUCUACAGGUAGCUACAGGAAAAUGACACCGAAAAUGAAAGCGGCAUAUAAGUGAAGUGACGAAACAUAGUUUACACGGCUAAAAAAUCACAGCGUUAGUGAGAGAAAUAAAACUUGAUAUCAGUGUUAUUUUUCUUACCUACAAAGUAAAACAAUUCGAUUGCGGAAGAACGAAAUUAAAGAGACGAAAAUUACGGUAAAAAGAUUAACAGCGGCAGCCAAAGACUGAAAUAAAUAUUUGAAAAUCGGUAAUUUUCUAAACUUCUAGGCCCUAGGAAAAAUGACCGAAAUAAUGUCAACAAAAACAAUUUCAAAUUAUAAUCGGCAGCCACUUCCGGUACGGUACUACACUGCUUUAAGAAGUCGGAAAGCGAAUUUUGGUAAACGGUGGGGAAAAUGACGGCAGAAAAAAGGUUAAAAAAAGACGGAAAUUAAGGAAAAACUUCAUUAUAUCGAUGUAAAGAAAAUGACUGAAUUUCAAUUAAAGCAGCAUGUUAAAGGCAUUCCCCCCAAGUUCUAGGCCUACACCACAUCUUUCAAGUAUUAUUCGUCA